rnacentral:tRNA from 2 species
AGCGAGAUAGUGUAAAGGUAGCACGACAGUCUCAUGAGCUGUUAGACUUGGUUCGAAUCCAUAUUUCGCUA